GAGUUUGAUCCUGGCUCAGGAUGAACGCUGGCGGCGUGCUUAACACAUGCAAGUCGAACGGGAAUGCCACGCUGAUGCGAUUUCGGUCAAAUCAUGUGGCAUUCGAGUGGCGGACGGGUGAGUAACGCGUGGGUAACCUGCCUUACACAGGGGGAUAACACCUGGAAACAGGUGCUAAUACCGCAUAAGCGCACAGGGCCGCAUGGCCCGGUGUGAAAAACUCCGGUGGUGUAAGAUGGACCCGCGUCUGAUUAGCUUGUUGGCGGGGUAGGGGCCCACCAAGGCGACGAUCAGUAGCCGGCCUGAGAGGGUGGACGGCCACAUUGGGACUGAGACACGGCCCAAACUCCUACGGGAGGCAGCAGUGGGGGAUAUUGGACAAUGGGGGAAACCCUGAUCCAGCGACGCCGCGUGAGUGAAGAAGUAUUUCGGUAUGUAAAGCUCUGUCAGCAGGGAAGAGAGAAAUGACGGUACCUGACCAAGAAGCCCCGGCUAACUACGUGCCAGCAGCCGCGGU
rnacentral:rRNA from 1 species